CUCCCUGGGCUUGGAUACCAUCUUAAUUGCUUCCAGUCCUCCUGGGGCAGUGAAGUUCAAUUGCUUGUGGUCCCGGACUCCAGAGAGGAAGAGACGGAGAGAAACAUCACUGUGUAUUUGCCUCUUGUGUGCUUCCCACUGGGGACCUGGCCUGCAACCUGGGAACUGAAGGCGACUUCAGCAUCUUCACUCCAGGGACCAUAAGCAGUUCCACCUUUGUGCCUCUGGAGGACUGCAGGCAAUCAAGAUGGUAUCUGAGCCAUUGUACUCCAGGGUGAGACACCCACUGACAAAACAGAUGAAAACCAUUGCCUAGGUCACAGAUAAAAGAAUGCUGCAGCUUUUAUGUGCUCAACUAUUCCCCUGAAUACCAAACCCCUUAACUACACUUUUCCCCUCAUAAAAAGGGCUGGCCUGAAAUGAAAUGUAAGACAUUCUCUCGGGUACAUAACCCAAAGUUUUCUCAGAUCGCUGGUCAUGUAAA